AUUGAACGCUGGCGGAAUGCUUUACACAUGCAAGUCGAACGGCAGCACGGGGGCAACCCUGGUGGCGAGUGGCGAACGGGUGAGUAAUACAUCGGAACGUGCCCCGUCGUGGGGGAUAACGUAGCGAAAGUUACGCUAAUACCGCAUACGAUCUACGGAUGAAAGCGGGGGACCGUAAGGCCUCGCGCGAUGGGACGGGCCGAUGUCAGAUUAGGUAGUUGGUGAGGUAAAGGCUCACCAAGCCGACGAUCUGUAGCUGGUCUGAGAGGACGACCAGCCACACUGGGACUGAGACACGGCCCAGACUCCUACGGGAGGCAGCAGUGGGGAAUUUUGGACAAUGGGCGCAAGCCUGAUCCAGCCAUUCCGCGUGCAGGACGAAGGCCUUCGGGUUGUAAACUGCUUUUGUACGGAACGAAAAGGCUCUGGUUAAUACCUGGGGCUCAUGACGGUACCGUAAGUAUAAGCACCGGCUAACUACGUGCCAGCCGCCGCAGUAA
rnacentral:rRNA from 1 species